UGGAACUGAGACACGGUCCAAACUCCUACGGGAGGCAGCAGUGAGGAAUAUUGGUCAAUGGACGAGAGUCUGAACCAGCCAAGUAGCGUGAAGGAUGACUGCCCUAUGGGUUGUAAACUUCUUUUAUAUGGGAAUAAAACGUUCCACGUGUGGGAUUUUGUAUGUACCAUAUGAAUAAGGAUCGGCUAACUCCGUGCCAGCAGCCGCGGUAAUACGGAGGAUCCGAGCGUUAUCCGGAUUUAUUGGGUUUAAAGGGAGCGUAGGUGGAUUGUUAAGUCAGUUGUGAAAGUUUGCGGCUCAACCGUAAAAUUGCAGUUGAAACUGGCAGUCUUGAGUACAGUAGAGGUGGGCGGAAUUCGUGGUGUAGCGGUGAAAUGCUUAGAUAUCACGAAGAACUCCGAUUGCGAAGGCAGUUCACUGGACUGCAACUGACACUGAGGCUCGAAAGUGUGGGUAUCAAACAGGAUUAGAUACCCUGGUAGUCCACACAGUAAACGAUGAAUACUCGCUGUUUGCGAUAUACAGCAAGCGGC
rnacentral:rRNA from 1 species